CACCGCGGUUAUACGAGCGGGCCCCAGUUGAUAAAAUCCGGCGUAAAGAGUGGUUAGUAGAAUCUUUACUAAAGUCGAACAUCUCCGGGGCUGUUAUAAGCUUUCGAAGACGGGAAGCCCACCCACGAAAGUGGCUUUAAAAACUACGACCCCACUGAAGCUAGGGGA
rnacentral:rRNA from 1 species